rfam:Erinaceus europaeus unplaced genomic scaffold scaffold01089, whole genome shotgun sequence
CCAUAGGCUCCUUUCUGUCCAGGAGCCACAUAUUUGCACUAAUCGGUGAUUU